rnacentral:lncRNA from 1 species
GUUGACAUAGGAAAAUAAUACUUAUGACAUUGUUUUACUUCUAUGCUUUUACAAAUACCCAUUCUACAGUUCCAACGAGAAAAAAGGGGGAAAAUGGCUGAGGGAAAAUGGAGUCCAAAUUUCAGUAGUCCCACAAUUUAAUUAAGUCCUUUGUUACUUACAUUCAGCUUCUCACACCAUGUCUGCAAAACUGUAGGAAGCUCUACUCGAAUAAUGUGCAGAAUUGAGUGAUUUAUUUUCCCCUUCGCUUUCAGACAAACGCGUACAGCAUCUAAUGUCUUCAGGGGAUGAACCCUUUGCUGUCCUUUUCAAUCAUCUCUGUGAAUAACUUGAGGGAAAACACAGUUAUUUCCACUUGUCUUUGUCAAUGUAACAAAUAAUGAUCCGUAUUUAUCUUUCCUUGUUUUGUUUUUUUCUAAGUUUUUUUUAAUUUAUUAUUCUUGCCGAAAUUUUGGAUUUCAUUAACUUCUGAAGUUCAUCCAAUGAAUUAAAAAAAUGAAUAUAAGGACAUUUUCAAGCUAAAAGAGAGUAUUUAAACUAUUGAUUUGGUCGGUAAGAUAUGGAACCAAAGAAAUCUUAUGUAUGGAAUGUUUGAAACUACGAAUCGCUGGCUGGGGGGUUGAGGAUCAUUGUACAAUUCCAUAUAACCACUUCCAUUCUCUUCGCUUUACUUUUUUAAUUAUUAUUUUAACUCACCUUAAAUCCCUGGCAAAGACUUAGGUUGUUUGUCUCCAGCCAUUCCUUGUUUUGCCCAUUACAUGCAUGCACAGACAGACAAGGGUGCAGAGAUACGCAAAAGCUUAUCCCGAAUCCAGCUGCAGAACAUAGCCCAGAAGAGAGUAGAAUAAUAGUUCAUGAAUUAGAUGUGUAUAUAUAUAUAUAAUAUCUCCUUCAAUGAUAAAACAAAGGGUCUAUACUCUAUACAGUUACUGAGAUUUAAAUCUCACCUAUAAGAAUUAAUGAAAAUGAUCCAUAUAAAGCUCUCCGUUUUCACUCUUUUGACGGUCUGGGCCAAAGGCAAGCUGGUGUAUAUUUAAUAUCCAUUAAUACUACUAACAUUAACAAUAUAUAAUAUGUAUAUCAACAAACUGAAAGUGGAGAAUCACACUCUGCCCAAGAAGCUUAUCCUAUCCCUCUUUCAUAUCUUAUCUUUUCCCACGCUCAACUUGUGGGGUCUUAACAUCGAGAACUUCGAAAGAUCACACCGAUCAAGCACCAUCCUUUCUCACUCAGAGUUCAUGUCCCUUACAAGCAAUAAUUUUCUUAUACCCUUUUUUAUAUCAUGACAUGCAUGUUCGUACACUUUCGUAUCAAGACACCAACUGCUAUAAAAAUGGCUACACCAUCUCAAUAUCCAUACAUUUCAGCUUAAGAAAUAAAUAACAUCACUAAACCGCCUACCAAGACUUCGACCAACCCAAGCUCAUAACCUCUUAGGCCUUAGUUACGUAUCAUGUCAACCAAUUAAUGCUCCCUCCAAAAGCUCUCUCUCUCUCUCUCUUUACUGCUAUAUAACCCUUUCAGUUCCAUCUGUUUCACUACCCAAAUCUCCAUUUCAGAUUACAUGUGCAAGUUCCUUUUCCC